GUGCUUGCUUCAGCAGUACAUAUACUAAAAUUGGAACAAUACAGAGAAGAUUAGUGCGGCCCCUGAGCAAGGAUGACACACAAGUUUGUGAAGCGCUCCAUAUUCUU